UACGGAGGGGGCUAGCGUUGUUCGGAAUUACUGGGCGUAAAGCGCACGUAGGCGGCUUUGUAAGUUAGAGGUGAAAGCCCGGGGCUCAACCCCGGAAUUGCCUUUAAGACUGCAUCGCUAGAAUUGUGGAGAGGUGAGUGGAAUUCCGAGUGUAGAGGUGAAAUUCGUAGAUAUUCGGAAGAACACCAGUGGCGAAGGCGACUCACUGGACAAAUAUUGACGCUGAGGUUCGAAAGCGUGGGGAGCAAACAGG
rnacentral:rRNA from 1 species